rnacentral:rRNA from 1 species
AAACCGUUCAGGGGUAAACCUGAGAAACCCGAAAGAUCGAAUGGGGAGAUUCAGCGUCAGCGGCGUUGGCUCGGUGAAGUGAGCGAUGUAACGGACCAUCAUGGUAUCGUUACACGUUAUCGCUUGCCGUGUCCGGCGUCGUCGUCGUGCACUUCUCCCCUAGUAGAACGUCGCGACCCGUUGGGUGUCGGUCUACGGUCCGAGGUGUUAAGACUGUCGCGUCGCUUCGGCGCAUGCGACAGGCCCUCGGUUGCCUGGCCGGCUGCCCGGCGGUAGAACGUGAGGUAUCUGGCCGCAAUUUCGAACUGCGUCGGGACCGCCGCAAGCGAGGCCAGUGUCUCGGAGGUACGGACCUGGUGCCGUCCCCGAGCCUGGCCAGCUGUUGGCAGGCGGAAUCCUCAGACGGGCAGCAAUGGUACCGGUCGGCGACGCUACUGCUUUGGGUACUCUCAGGACCCGUCUUGAAACACGGACCAAGGAGUCUAACAUGUGCGCGAGUCAUUGGGAUUUAAAAGCCUAAAGGCGCAAUGAAAGUGAAGGUCGGCUUUACGUCGACCGAGGGAGGAUGGGCAGCGCUAUGACGCGGCUCCGCACUCCCGGGGCGUCUCGUUCUCAUUGCGAGAAGAGGCGCACCCAGAGCGUACACGUUGGGACCCGAAAGAUGGUGAACUAUGCCUGGUCAGGACGAAGUCAGGGGAAACCCUGAUGGAGGUCCGUAGCGAUUCUGACGUGCAAAUCGAUCGUCGGAACUGGGUAUAGGGGCGAAAGACUAAUCGA